rnacentral:rRNA from 1 species
GGUGAUCUAGCCAUGGGCAGGUUGAAGGUUGGGUAACACUAACUGGAGGACCGAACCGACUAAUGUUGAAAAAUUAGCGGAUGACUUGUGGCUGGGGGUGAAAGGCCAAUCAAACCGGGAGAUAGCUGGUUCUCCCCGAAAGCUAUUUAGGUAGCGCCUCGUGAAUUCAUCUCCGGGGGUAGAGCACUGUUUCGGCAAGGGGGUCAUCCCGACUUACCAACCCGAUGCAAACUGCGAAUACCGGAGAAUGUUAUCACGGGAGACACACGGCGGGUGCUAACGUCCGUCGUGAAGAGGGAAACAACCCAGACCGCCAGCUAAGGUCCCAAAGUCAUGGUUAAGUGGGAAACGAUGUGGGAAGGCCCAGACAGCCAGGAUGUUGGCUUAGAAGCAGCCAUCAUUUAAAGAAAGCGUAAUAGCUCACUGGUCGAGUCGGCCUGCGCGGAAGAUGUAACGGGGCUAAACCAUGCACCGAAGCUGCGGCAGCGACACUAUGUGUUGUUGGGUAGGGGAGCGUUCUGUAAGCCUGUGAAGGUGUACUGUGAGGUAUGCUGGAGGUAUCAGAAGUGCGAAUGCUGACAUAAGUAACGAUAAAGCGGGUGAAAAGCCCGCUCGCCGGAAGACCAAGGGUUCCUGUCCAACGUUAAUCGGGGCAGGGUGAGUCGACCCCUAAGGCGAGGCCGAAAGGCGUAGUCGAUGGGAAACAGGUUAAUAUUCCUGUACUUGGUGUUACUGCGAAGGGGGGACGGAGAAGGCUAUGUUGGCCGGGCGACGGUUGUCCCGGUUUAAGCGUGUAGGCUGGUUUUCCAGGCAAAUCCGGAAAAUCAAGGCUGAGGCGUGAUGACGAGGCACUACGGUGCUGAAGCAACAAAUGCCCUGCUUCCAGGAAAAGCCUCUAAGCAUCAGGUAACAUCAAAUCGUACCCCAAACCGACACAGGUGGUCAGGUAGAGAAUACCAAGGCGCUUGAGAGAACUCGGGUGAAGGAACUAGGCAAAAUGGUGCCGUAACUUCGGGAGAAGG